GCCCGCUUGGCUCAUCGGUAGAGCGCCUCACUAGUAAUGAGGAGGUAAUUGGUUCGACUCCAGUAGUGGGCA
rfam:Microdochium bolleyi strain J235TASD1 unplaced genomic scaffold Micbo1qcscaffold_5, whole genome shotgun sequence.